rnacentral:rRNA from 1 species
AUUGAACGCUGGCGGCAGGCCUAACACAUGCAAGUCGAGCGGAUGAAGGGAGCUUGCUCCUGGAUUCAGCGGCGGACGGGUGAGUAAUGCCUAGGAAUCUGCCUGGUAGUGGGGGAUAACGUCCGGAAACGGGCGCUAAUACCGCAUACGUCCUGAGGGAGAAAGUGGGGGAUCUUCGGACCUCACGCUAUCAGAUGAGCCUAGGUCGGAUUAGCUAGUUGGUGGGGUAAAGGCCUACCAAGGCGACGAUCCGUAACUGGUCUGAGAGGAUGAUCAGUCACACUGGAACUGAGACACCGGCCCGACUCCUACGGGAGGCAACAGUGGGGAAUAUUGGGCAAUGGGCGAAAGCCUGAUCCAGCCAUGCCGCGUGUGUGAAGAAGGUCUUCGGAUUGUAAAGCACUUUAAGUUGGGAGGAAGGGCAGUAAGUUAAUACCUUGCUGUUUUGACGUUACCAACAGAAUAAGCACCGGCUAACUUCGUG